GGUCUGGUGGCAGAAUGGCUAUGCAUCGGACUGCAAAUCCGCGUAUGUGGGUUCGAUUCCCGCCCAGACCUCCA
rnacentral:tRNA from 16 species